rnacentral:rRNA from 1 species
GGUCGGAGACGGGAUGUUUACUUUGAAAAAAUCAGAGUGUUUCAAGCAGGCAGUCGCUCUUGCAUGGAUUAGCAUGGGAUAAUGAAAUAGGACUCUGGUGCUAUUUUGUUGGUUUCGAGCACCGGAGUAAUGAUUAACAGGGACAGUCAGGGGCACUCGUAUUCCGCCGAGAGAGGUGAAAUUCUCAGACCAGCGGAAGACGAACCACUGCGAAAGCAUUUGCCAGGGAUGUUUUCACUGAUCAAGAACGAAAGUUAGGGGAUCGAAGACGAUCAGAUACCGUCGUAGUCUUAACCAUAAACCAUGCCGACUAGGGAUUGGAGGAUGUUCCAUUUGUGACUCCUUC